GUUGUUCUAGGAAAAUAUAUUUACUGAUGGGGUGGCAUGUUCUUCAGCUCAACGUGGAGUUAACAGCACAUCCCAAAGUGUUUUAUUCCACUUGCACCACAGCAACUUGGCAGCACUAACAAUCUGUUAAAAAAUAAAUAAAUAAAAAUCAGCCAUAACAUUAAAACCACCUGACUAAUGUGCAGGUCCUCCUUGUGCCGCUAAAACAGCUCUUACUCGUCGAGGCAUGGACGCCACAAGACCUCUGAAGGUGUGCUGUGGUUUCGGGCACCAAGAACAUAGUUCCUUUAAGUCCCGUAAGAUGCAAGGUGGGCCUCCGUGGAUCAGACUUGUUUGUCCAGAACAUCCCACAGAUGCUCAAUUGCUCAAAGAAUUUGGUGGCAGUCAACUCCUUGAACUCUGUCAUGUUCCUCAAACCAUUCCUGAACCAUUUUUUGCGGUGUGUCAGCGAACAUUAUUCCACUGAAGGAGACCACUACCAUUAGGGAAUUUUGUUACCAUGAAGAGGUGUACGUGGUCUGCAACAGUGUUUGGUAAGUGGUACUUGUAAAAGUAUAUUAACAUCCACACAAAAGCCAGGACCCAAGGUUUUCCAGCAGAACACUGCCCAGAACAUCACACUGCCUCUGCUAGCUUUUGCUCCCCACUCGCAUCAGUGAGCCUUGGGUGCCCUUGACCCUGUCACCAGUUCACCAGUUGUCCUUCCAUGGGCCACUUUUGGUAGGUACAAGACCUGCCGUUUUGGCAAUGCUCAGACUCAGUUAUCUAGACAUCACAGUUUGGCCCUUAUCGAAGUUGCUUAGAUCCUUACACUUGCCCAUUUUUCCCCAACCGUUUGCUUGGUGCCUGAUAUACCCCACCCCUUCACUGGUGCUGUUGUAACGAGAUAAUCAGUGUUCUUCACUUCACCUGUCAGUAGUUUUACUGUUGUAGCUGAUCGGUGUAUAGUUGCAUUUAAUGUUGUAGAAUGAAAACACAUUCCUGUUCUCACUUGUGUUAGCAUGUUGUAACAGCUGUUCUUCCCUCACCUAUUGUGUGGUGUGUUUAUUUAUUUAUUUUUAUUUAUUUAUUUUAUUUAAAAAAACAAAACUUUUUUUAUAUAUAAAAAAAGCAAAAAUGCUGCUUGUCAUGUUACCGAUAGGGCCACAGAAAUGUCCUCUGUGCUGAUGUCUUGGCUGUAUCUGAAAACUUAUAGCUUUACUUAUAGCCCUGACUUUUACUGUGUUGACACUGGAGAUUCCUUUCAGAAAUGCUCCAUUAAUGUCUCCUAACAUAAACCCACUAGGACUAAGAUGAUUUAUGCAUUGUAGCACCAAACAAAGGUUUCAGUCACUUUUCUGUCUGUAGAUUGUCCAUCACUGUGUAUGGGGCCAUAGUCUUGUGUCCUUUAUUCAUCUCCGUAAACAGUCAUCAUAUUAACCUGUUGACUGGUGUUUAUCAGACAGGAGCCUGUGGUUUCCUACUCUGAACGCUGUUCGAGCCAUGUCGACUUCAGGAGGUCCCACUCCACCCUUCACCACCCUGUCGGUCACCCACCCAGCCAAUCACAUCACUUCUGUAGAGCUGCACCGACCAGAGAAACACAACGCCAUGAACUAGGCCUACUGGAGUGAAAUGAUCGAAUGCUUUAAUCAGAUUGCUAAAGACUCAGAGUGCCGUGUGGUCUUGGGUGCAGGGAAAAUCUUCACUGCAGUUUAUUUUGGAUACAGGCAGAGGAAGCUCAGCGAAAGCUUAAGAGACAGAAUGGAGAGGACCCAGGUAAGCUAUUUCUUCAGUGAUUGUAGUCAUAUCUGAAAAUGAUUGGUCAGUUGAAUGCAGAUUGCUGAAGUGUGAGUGUCUGUGUGUGUCGUAGCCCUGCCUCCAUUCUGCCCACUGUU